AAAGGUUUAGACAGAGGAUAAGGGGAGGAGCAGAGCAGGGGCAGUUCUAAGGAGGGUCCAGAGGCAGGGAAGGACAGCAAGCAGUGCUGGGGUGGUCCUACAAGAGGUCUCUGGUGAAGCUGGAUCUCUUCUGGAGGCCAGGUACUUGGUUAGAGGCAGAUCCCAUCUGGUGUGGGAGGGCAAACAGCAAGAGGAGACAAACCACCAUGGUAAGUAAAGGCUGGUUGUUAGCUGUAACUUGAGGAGUAGAGAUGGAAUUUGGGGAGAGCACCAUAGAAUUAUUCAGUUUAUCUCUGUCCCAUUUAAAAAAUCCACUAUACCAGGAAAAUGAUCAGUAUAGAGUCCAGGGCCUGAGCUAUUACAUGCUGACAUCACCUCCUCAAAGUCCUCAGGGAAGACUCUGGUGUCCUGGUAGGUCCAUUCUGGAUAUAGUAUAUGACAACCACUCCACGUUUCCUCAAAGAGUCAGGAGCUCACAAGUCUCGGCCAAACACUCUCUGUGGAUUCACAGACGUACCUGCUCCUCACCUGCCUGCCAACUGCCCAUCGGCGUUCUUCCACUUGUCAUGGUUCCACCAAGAGUCUGGACUUCAGCAGGACACUAGUUAUUUACAAAAACACUUAACGUGGAAGGAAGCUGGGAGUGAGGAGUGGUCGGCUGGUUGGGCUGGCAGAGCAAGGGCAGAUAGAUGGCACAAAUGAGAACCACCGCUGAAAACAGGUAAACAAGAACACAUAAAAAAAAAGAGAGCAAGAACAGGGGCAGGACCACACAGGAGGACUGUGGGGCCAUGACACUGCUCACCUUAGACUGCCACCUCCUAAACCACACCCCCUCCCAAGCUCUGCUCCAAUGCACAGAAUACUUGAGUUGUGACUGAAACCCGCCCCUUGUCAUAACUCUCUAUCACUGAGCUUUCUGUAAAUAAACCUUUUAAGGCUAUUAA